CUACGUGCCAGCAGCCGCGGUAAUACGUAUGUCACAAGCGUUAUCCGGAUUUAUUGGGCGUAAAGCGCGUCUAGGUGGUUAUGUAAGUCUGAUGUGAAAAUGCAGGGCUCAACUCUGUAUUGCGUUGGAAACUGCAUGACUAGAGUACUGGAGAGGUAAGCGGAACUACAAGUGUAGAGGUGAAAUUCGUAGAUAUUUGUAGGAAUGCCGAUGGGGAAGCCAGCUUACUGGACAGAUACUGACGCUAAAGCGCGAAAGCGUGGGUAGCAAACAGGAUUAGAUACCCUGGUAGUCCACGCCGUAAACGAUGAUUACUAGGUGUUGGGGGUCGAACCUCAGCGCCCAAGCUAACGCGAUAAGUAAUCCGCCUGGGGAGUACGGCCGCAAGGUUAAAACUCAAAUGAAUUGACGGGGGCCCGCACAAGCGGUGGAGCAUGUGGUUUAAUUCGAUGCAACGCGAAGAACCUUACCUACUCUU
rnacentral:rRNA from 1 species